UACGUAGGUGGCGAGCGUUAUCCGGAAUUACUGGGUGUAAAGGGUGUGUAGGCGGGAAUGAAAGUCAGACGUCAAAAUUAUGUGCUUAACGCAUAAGCGCGUUUGAAACUUCAAUUCUUGAGUGCGGGAGAGGUAAGCGGAAUUCCCAGUGUAGCGGUAAAAUGCGUAGAUAUUGGGAGGAACACCAGUGGCGAAGGCGGCUUACUGGACCGUAACUGACGCUGAGACACGAAAGCGUGGGGAGCAAACAGG
rnacentral:rRNA from 1 species